rnacentral:rRNA from 1 species
ACGCCGUAAACGAUGAGUGCUAGGUGUUGGGUCCUUUCCGGGACUCAGUGCCGCAGCUAACGCAUUAAGCACUCCGCCUGGGGAGUACGACCGCAAGGUUGAAACUCAAAGGAAUUGACGGGGGCCCGCACAAGCGGUGGAGCAUGUGGUUUAAUUCGAAGCAACGCGAAGAACCUUACCAGGUCUUGACAUCCCGGUGCCCGUCCUAGAGAUAGGAUUUUGCUUCGGCACACCGGUGACAGGUGGUGCAUGGUUGUCGUCAGCUCGUGUCGUGAGAUGUUGGGUUAAGUCCCGCAACGAGCGCAACCCUUAUUGUUAGUUGCCAUCAUUCAGUUGGGCACUCUAGCGAGACUGCCGGUAAUAAACCGGAGGAAGGUGGGGAUGACGUCAAAUCAUCAUGCCCCUUAUGACCUGGGCUACACACGUGCUACAAUGGCUGGUACAACGAGUCGCAAGUCGGUGACGGCAAGCUAAUCUCUUAAAGCCAGUCUCAGUUCGGAUUGUAGGCUGCAACUCGCCUACAUGAAGUCGGAAUCGCUAGUAAUCGCGGAUCAGCACGCCGCGGUGAAUACGUUCCCGGGCCUUGUACACACCGCCCGUC